GACGAACGCUGGCGGCGUGCUUAACACAUGCAAGUCGAACGGUAAGGCCCUUCGGGGUACACGAGUGGCGAACGGGUGAGUAACACGUGGGUGAUCUGCCCUGCACUUCGGGAUAAGCCUGGGAAACUGGGUCUAAUACCGGAUAGGACCACUGCCUGCAUGGGUGGGGGGGGAAAGCUUUUGCGGUGUGGGAUGGGCCCGCGGCCUAUCAGUUUGGUGGUGGGGUGAUGGCCUACCAAGGCGACGACGGGUAGCCGGCCUGAGAGGGUGACCGGCCACACUGGGACUGAGAUACGGCCCAGACUCCUACGGGAGGCAGCAGUGGGGAAUAUUGCACAAUGGGCGCAAGCCUGAUGCAGCGACGCCGCGUGAGGGAUGACGGCCUUCGGGUUGUAAACCUCUUUCAGCACCGACGAAGCGCAAGUGACGGUAGGUGCAGAAGAAGGACCGGCCAACUACGUGCCAGCAGCCGCAGUAA
rnacentral:rRNA from 1 species